AUAAAUAAAGCCCAUUCACAGGCUUCAUGAGAUCAUAAAAAUAAUUCUACCCUAUAUAUUUUUCAAUCCAACAUGAGCUUAUUAGAUCAACAUCCUGGAAGGCAACAAAUUGAAAGAUUAUGUUAAAAGGAUCUUUCCAGGAUGAAUGCUCAAAUCCAGGUGAAGGUGUUGGUAGCACAAAAGAGACAAAACAAGAUUGUUCAUGAUAGAUGGAUUUAUAAGGUUUCAACAGUCCAUAGUAGGAUGUUUUCUGCUGCAUCCUCAUGUUAAUGGACUUUUUACUGUUUUUUCUUGGACUUGGAGUGGAG
rnacentral:lncRNA from 1 species